GUGCUCGCUUCAGCAGCACAUGUACUAAAACUGGAACGAUACAGAGAAGAUCAGUAUGGCCCCAGCGCAAGGAUGACACGCAAAUUCACGAAGCAUUUCGUAUUUUU
rfam:Camelus ferus unplaced genomic scaffold scaffold1907, whole genome shotgun sequence.